rnacentral:rRNA from 1 species
UGCAAGUCGAACGGUAACAGGAAGCAGCUUGCUGCUUCGCUGACGAGUGGCGGACGGGUGAGUAAUGUCUGGGAAACUGCCUGAUGGAGGGGGAUAACUACUGGAAACGGUAGCUAAUACCGCAUAACGUCGCAAGACCAAAGAGGGGGACCUUCGGGCCUCUUGCCAUCGGAUGUGCCCAGAUGGGAUUAGCUAGUAGGUGGGGUAACGGCUCACCUAGGCGACGAUCCCUAGCUGGUCUGAGAGGAUGACCAGCCACACUGGAACUGAGACACGGUCCAGACUCCUACGGGAGGCAGCAGUGGGGAAUAUUGCACAAUGGGCGCAAGCCUGAUGCAGCCAUGCCGCGUGUAUGAAGAAGGCCUUCGGGUUGUAAAGUACUUUCAGCGGGGAGGAAGGGAGUAAAGUUAAUACCUUUACUCAUUGACGUUACCCGCAGAAGAAGCACCGGCUAACUCCGUGCCAGCAGCCGCGGUAAUACGGAGGGUGCAAGCGUUAAUCGGAAUUACUGGGCGUAAAGCGCACGCAGGCGGUUUGUUAAGUCAGAUGUGAAAUCCCCGGGCUCAACCUGGGAACUGCAUCUGAUACUGGCAAGCUUGAGUCUCGUAGAGGGGGGGUAGAA